AGUCGGCUGCGAGGAUCAUUUUAACUCAAUGCCAAGUCUGCUUCAGAAAAUUCUUGAUUGAUAAGCCGAUUAAUAUCUGAGCCUUUU
rnacentral:snoRNA from 1 species